CUUGUUGUGUUCGCAUUUUUGCUGAUUCUCAAUUUAGCACAUAAUUGCGUAACUAGAAAUGUAUGUAUGUAAAUAUGUGGCUAUCUCUUAUCAACAGAAAAUAAAAACAAACAGCUGAUUACCCAGCCGAAGGGUCAAAUAUGAAAUAAGAAAAAUAAAAUUAGACGUCAUAUAAUAAAUUCGUUUAACGAAAGUAAUUUUGUACAUUUUAAUAUACUCGCAUUGACGUCACUGCCACUAGAGCUUUUUAUAUCUGACCUUGGCAUUGCAACUUUUCUUUUUGUUUUUGCAAAAUUUUUAAAUAAAACACAAUAAAUAUAUGAGAAACUGCAGCGGUAGUCAUUUUAAAUACAGUUAAAGAGUGAAAUUGCAGAAAUAUAUUUAUUUUAAAUGAUUUUGUUAUAAUUUAGAGAGUAUAUUUCGUUUAAAAUCACGUGAAGAAAUUAUUACCCCAAAUGUUAUUUAUAUUUGCAAUUCGGUUUUGUUGGUUGUUGUUGUUGCAUUUUAAUCAACAUUUCAACGUUUUUAUUUAACAAGCUUGUGAUAACAAAUACUUCACGCUGAUGUGUGAUUCGAUAGCGUUAUUUUUAUAUAGCGUAUUUAUAACUGUGAAAAACUGUACCGCCCCCGCAAAGUACUCGACAAUGCUGAUAUUAAUAGUCCACAAUUAAACAAAAAAAAAAUAUUGUUUUUUCUGAGACACAAAAUCGCUAUACACAUACUUCCCGGACCCAGAUCGGCUUUUCUGGGUGAUUUAUCCUCAAAGCACGUCCUCAUCAAGUCAAAUAUCUCGAUCGCGGGACCUUUCCUAACUCCAUUGAAGACAGAGAGAUGCUGCAUCUUUGUAUUUUUCGAUAUUCUUCUUUUGUUCCGAAAAAUUCGAACCGUAUUGCAAUAAUGCCAAAACACACUGGCCACAGUUUUAAACAACAGUUAUCAAAUAAGCCCAAGUGCAGAGGCCAGCAACCAAUUAAAAGUAAAUAUUAUCUUGGGUGCAAUGAAAUAGACCACUUAAUUACGAGUCAAGUACAAAUGUAUAUCACAUGCCUGCAAUAAUUUUUACAUGGACUGAGUGCUGGGACUGCAUAAUAAUAAUUAAUAUAAUUGCGCAACUGAGUAGAGACAAGCGAUACUAUAAUAUCUUCUUCAUAUUACUGCAUAGAAUAAAACUAAUGAACGAUAAAAUAUCAUAUAUAAAAUACUAUUAUCGCAAUUCAAAGACAGGAAGCGCAUCUAGUAAAAGCUAUUUACUUGGAGUAAUAAAUAUAUAUGAUUCUUAAUGACUUUGCCGUUAUAAUAAUAAAGAGUGAUAAACACAAAGUUGUAUUUAAAUAAAAAAGGCAUAUUGCCAGAACAAUUUUAUUGUUGUAUUUUAUAUAUUAUAUUUAUCCAGGGACUACGUAUUCAUCUAAUUGCACAACAAUCAAUCUAACUGCGAUAAUCAAUUUACAAAGUCAUUGGGAAAUUGGCAAUGCCGCUAUUGCACCUGUUUAUAUCCCAGCGCAAGAGGCGCAACACACAAACAACAACAAUCAAGAAUACGCUAAUUUAAAUAAAGUAACCAGAUGUUUGUCUCAACAGAAAGUAAAAGUUAUUUGAUUGUGUUUAUAUAACAUA